rnacentral:rRNA from 1 species
CCUACGGGUGGCAGCAGUCGGGAAUAUUGCGCAAUGGAGGAAACUCUGACGCAGCGACGCCGCGUGCAGGAAGAAGGUUUUCGGAUUGUAAACUGCUUUAGACAGGGAAGAAGAAAUGACGGUACCUGAGUAAGAAGCACCGGCUAAAUACGUGCCAGCAGCCGCGGUAAUACGUAUGGUGCAAGCGUUAUCCGGAUUUACUGGGUGUAAAGGGAGCGCAGGCGGCACGGCAAGCCUGAUGUGAAAGCCCGCGGGCCAACCGCGGGACUGCAUUGGGAACUACCGGGCUGGAGUGCCGGAGAGGUAGGCGGAAUGCCUAGUGUAGCGGUGAAAUGCGUAGAUAUUAGGAGGAACACCAGUGGCGAAGGCGGCCUACUGGACGGUGACUGACGCUGAGGCUCGAAAGCGUGGGGAGCAAACAGGAUUAGAUACCCUAGUAGUC